rnacentral:rRNA from 1 species
GACAGAGGGUGCAAACGUUGUUCGGAAUUACUGGGCGUAAAGCGUGUGUAGGCGGCCGCGUAAGUCGGAUGUGAAAGCCCUGGGCUCAACCCAGGAAGUGCACUCGAUACUGCGCGGCUAGAGUACUGGAGAGGUUGGUGGAAUUCUCGGUGUAGAGGUGAAAUUCGUAGAUAUCGAGAGGAACACCGGUGGCGAAGGCGGCCAACUGGACAGAUACUGACGCUGAGGCACGAAAGCGUGGGGAGCAAACAGG